rnacentral:rRNA from 1 species
AUUGAACGCUGGCGGAAUGCUUUACACAUGCAAGUCGAACGGCAGCACGGACUUCGGUCUGGUGGCGAGUGGCGAACGGGUGAGUAAUGUAUCGGAACGUGCCCAGUCGUGGGGGAUAACGUAGUGAAAAUUACGCUAAUACCGCAUACGAUCUAUGGAUGAAAGCGGGGGAUCGCAAGGCCUCGCGCGAUUGGAGCGGCCGAUAUCAGAUUAGGUAGCUGGUGGGGUAAAGGCCCACCAAGCCAACGAUCUGUAGCUGGUCUGAGAGGACGACAAGGAACACUGGAACUGCGACACUGUCCAGACUCCGACGGGAGGCAGCAGUGGGGAAUUUUGGACAAUGGUCGAAAGCCUGAUCCAGCCAUUCCGCGUGCAGGAUGAAGGCCCUCGGGUUGUAAACUGCUUUUGUACAGAACGAAAAGGUUUCUACUAAUACUAGGAGCUCAUGACGGUACUGUAAGAAUAAGCACCGGCUAACUACGUGCCAGCCGCCGCCGUAA